rnacentral:rRNA from 1 species
AUGGAGGACAAUGUAAUUUACUCAAUAGACAAGUCAGAGGUUAUAAGCGAUAAGCCAAGGGAGGUAUCAUUUCAACAAUUAAUGGAGAUUACAAAUAAUUUCGAGCAAAAGCUUGGCAGCGGCACGUUUGGAGUUGUUUACAAGGGAGUGCUUAAUGAUGGACCUGUAAAUCGAGUGAUUGCCGUGAAGAAGCUUCAUUCCACAACAGAGCAGAUUGACGACAAGCAAUUCAAGAAUGAAUUUGAACUACUUAGGGUGCUGAAGCAUCAAAAUAUUGUGCAAUUGGUGGGUUUCUGCAAUGAGACAGAGAAAGUAACUGCCAACUACGAAGGGCGUAUAGUGGUUGCUGAAGAGAUACACAGGGCACUCUGCCUGGAGUUUGUGCCUAAUGGAAGUCUUGGCAAGUUUCUUUCAGAACAAUGCCAUGAACUAAAUUGGAACUUGCGCUUCAAGAUUAUCAAGGGGAUAUGCGAGGGCUUAAAAUACCUUCAUGAUUUUCCCAUCAACCAUUUGGAUCUCAAGCCGGACAAUAUAUUACUAGAUGAUAAAAUGGCUCCGAAAAUAGCAGACUUCGGUAUAUCAAGGCUCAUGGGCGCAGAGAACACUGUAAAGACACAGACUUUCCUAGGGACACUUGGAUACAUCCCACCAGAAUUUAUAAAGAAGCAAAUAAUCUCAAGAGAGUAUGACAUAUUCAGUUUGGGUGUCAUAAUUAGAAAGAUACUGACCAUAGUGAUGGACGACCAAAAUAUUGUUUCAAUGGACGGCCAGGAAUGCAUUGAAUAUGUACACAGUUAUUGGGAGAAAGAGUUACAAGGGGUGCCUGGGUACGCAUCACCUGAAGCAGAUUGCAAACAAGUGAGGGCUUGUAUUGAGAUUGCAGUAGUGUGCAUGGACGAGGAUCGACUUAAUAGGCCUACAAUGAAGUACAUAGUUCAUAAACUCAACAAGCUAGAACUUAAGGAAAAUGACUCAUUGUCGCCGAUAGAACAGAUUCAAGGCGGUCGCCCCAAGAGGGACAUCCCAAAGGGGCCAUCUCCAGUGUGA